UACAUGGGGUGUGAGCGUUAUUCAUAAAAAUUAGGUGUAAAGGGCUAGUAGGUGGUUAAGGAAGUAAUAGUAUAUACUUUUAGACUAGGAUUAUAAAAAAAUAGAUAAUAUUUUAGUUUUAGCGCUAAUAUGCUUAUAAGGCUAAGAGGUUACCAGAAGCCACGGCGAUCUAUUAUUUAUAAUUGACACUGAGGGGCUAAAGUAUAGGUAUCAAACGGGAUUAGAGACCCCGGUAGUCUAUACUAUGAAUGAUGAGUAUUAAACUAAGAUUGUUUAAGCUAACGCGUAAAUACUCCACCUGGGGAUAACAGCCGCAAGGUUAAAACUUAAAAAAAUUGGCGGGAAUUUAUUUAACGGUGAAACAUGCGCCUUAAUUUGACAAUACACCAAAAAUAUUACCAAUAUUAUUUUUUUUUAUACACUGAUUAAAGUUAUUAUAAAAAAAAUAUAGGUUUUGCAUGGCUGUCGUAAGUUCGUGUUGUGAAAUGUUAGAUUAGGUUCUAGACGAACGCAAUUCUGUAUUUUAUUUAUAGGUAUUAUUUAGUAAUAUCUAUUAUAUUAUACAAUACUUUUUUUUAACAGGAAAGUAUUAAAAGAAUGAAGUCAAGUCAGUAUGGACCUUAUAUAUUGGGCCGAGUGCGUGUUACAAAAGCAGUUACAAUGAGGUAUAAAAUUGUAAAAUUAUAUAAAUCUUUAAAAACUGCUAUAGUUCUGAUUAUUUUUUGAAAAAAAAAUAUGAUGUUGGAAUCGUAAGUAAUCGUACAUUAUUAUGGUACGGUGAAUUAUUAGGUAAAUUUUGCACACACCGCCCAUCACGCUCGGAAAAUCGUCUGAUCUUAUAGGUAGGCCUCUGUUAUAGUUAUAUUAAUUUUUUUAUUAUUUUUAUAAGUUAUAACAUGCGUCUAUAUUUUUAGUUGGUAAUUUGAGUGAAGUUGUAACAAGGUACCGGUAGGGGAA
rnacentral:rRNA from 1 species